UCCCUCAUCCCUACAUCAGCUUAUUGGAUGUUAUUAUUAGUCAGUUUCUGUAGCCAGCCAGGACAUUUCUGCUGAGAAGCUGCACACAGUCAGCCUUUUUCUGGCUCUAAUAGUCCCAAGAGGGUUUCUUUUUGCCCAUUUGGGGUUCUUUUCUUUCACUUUCGUUUUAUAUUUGUUUUAUUUUCGAGACAGCGUCUUUGUGUUUAGCCCAGGCUGGACUCAAAAUCCUAAUCCUACUUCCGCUGCCUGAGUGAUGGGACGACAUGUUUUAAAUUUGCCUGGAUGACUUGAAGUGAUGCUUCUAAUACUUCUCCACCCACAGAAAUUCUAAUUCACGUUAAGUCCGAUUUUUUUUUUCAAGUCACGGAAACUAUCUCUAACUGACCUGAAGAGAGCAGUGUGUUAGUAUUGAGAACGGAGUGGGUUCUAGGGUGCCGUAAAGAAUCCAAAGGGACUGAACGACUGUGAAGCUGCGCCAGCUCAGCCUCACAACCCUGAGGUCCACGCUGGUCUUGGCCGUGAGGCUGCUGAAGCAAUGGCAGGAAAACGUCAAGAAACACCUAGGAGGGGCUGGAGAGCUGGCUCAGUCUAGAAACUGCUUGGCAUUCAAGCUUCUGUAGAAAGCACUGGUGAUGAAGAAGAAGGAAGAAGAAGAGGAAGAAUAGGAGGAGGAGGAAGAGGAGGAGGAGGAGGAGGAGGAGGAGGAGGAGGAGGAAGAGGAGAAGCCAAACAACCAAAACAUCCUCUGGUGGAGGAUGAGUUUUGUUUCUUGUUUGUUUGCUUGCUUUUAAAAAUAUAUAUAUAUUUCAUUCAUUCAUCUAUUGCAGUUGCAUGUGGAAGUCAGAGGCCCGUUUGCUGAAGUCAGUUCUCUCCUUCUGUCUGGGUCCCCAGGUCAAGCUAAGGUGGCCAGGCUUGGCAGCAAGCGCUCUUCCCCAAGCCAUCUCACAAACCCCAAGUUGCUGUUUUGUUUUAAGUGUGGUUUGCCACAAGUGAUCAGAAUGCAGAGAUUAAGUGUCUAUGAAAAGCUCGGCCACAAAUGAGAUAUCUGUGUGACUCCACUUCCCUCCAAGGCCUGGGAACCAUCAUGGAAGAGGAGGUAGAAAGACUGUAAGAGCCACAGGUGAAGGAAGACUGGGGGGAAGCAACAUCUUCUAGAUAUGACAGGAUGGCUGCACUCGUGAACUUUCAGCAACUGUGGCUGCCUGAAUACGGCCUAUACAAGAUCAAACCAGUCGGCAUGCAGACGUAGAUGUGGGUGGGGCUCAGGAGCCCCCACCUCUAGCUGAGGAGCUAUUGACAGUUGUUGUCUUGGGAAGAUUUAGAGUCAGUUUUCUUUAAGGGCAUGGUCCCUAACAGGUCAUCACACUGCAGUGAAUAGCUCCAUACCCGUGGGUGUAUGGGCAGCACAAAUUAGACUCAGCGGGUUAUUCAAAAAGAACAAGACCAUAAAUUUGGGAGGGAGUAAGAUGGUGAGAGGUGGGUUGGGAAGGAACUGGGGAAGUCAAAAUAAAAGUGUAUGCAUGUAUGAAC